CCUGGUAGCGGGGGGUAACUAUUGGAAACGAUAGCUAAUACCGCAUAACAGUAGAUAUUGCAUGAUAUCUGCUUGAAAGGUGCAAUUGCAUCACUACCAGAUGGACCUGCGUUGUAUUAGCUAGUUGGUGAGGUAACGGCUCACCAAGGCAACGAUACAUAGCCGACCUGAGAGGGUGAUCGGCCACACUGGGACUGAGACACGGCCCAG
rnacentral:rRNA from 1 species